GUGCUCUCUUCUGCAGCACAUAUACUAAAAUUGAAAUGAUACAGAGAAGAUUAGCAUGGCCCCUGCACAAGGAUGACACGCCAAUUCAUGAAACAUAGGGAGAGGUA